rnacentral:tRNA from 1 species
GCGAGCGUAGCUCAGUCUGGUAGAGCGCUGCACUGUGGAUGCAGUCGUCGCGGGUUCAAGUCCCGUCGCUCGCC